rnacentral:rRNA from 1 species
GACGAACGCUGGCGGCGUGCUUAACACAUGCAAGUCGAACGGAAAGGCCCUGCUUUUGUGGGGAGCUCGAGUGGCGAACGGGUGAGUAACACGUGAGUAACCUGCCCUUGACUUUGGGAUAACUUCAGGAAACUGGGGCUAAUACCGGAUAGGAGCUCCUGCUGCAUGGUGGGGGUUGGAAAGUUUCGGCGGUUGGGGAUGGACUCGCGGCUUAUCAGCUUGUUGGUGGGGUAGUGGCUUACCAAGGCUUUGACGGGUAGCCGGCCUGAGAGGGUGACCGGCCACAUUGGGACUGAGAUACGGCCCAGACUGCUACGGGAGGCAGCAGUGGGGAAUAUUGCACAAUGGGCGGAAGCCUGAUGCAGCAACGCCGCGUGCGGGAUGACGGCCUUCGGGUUGUAAACCGCUUUCGCCUGUGACGAAGCGUGAGUGACGGUAAUGGGUAAAGAAGCACCGGCUAACUACGUG